GACGAACGCUGGCGGCGUGCCUAAUACAUGCAAGUUGAGCGAUGAAGCUUGGUGCUUGCACCAAUUUGAAGAGCAGCGAACGGGUGAGUAACGCGUGGGGAAUCUGCCUUUGAGCGGGGGACAACAUUUGGAAACGAAUGCUAAUACCGCAUAACAACUUUAAACAUAAGUUUUAAGUUUGAAAGAUGCAAUUGCAUCACUCAAAGAUGAUCCCGCGUUGUAUUAGCUAGUUGGUGAGGUAAAGGCUCACCAAGGCGAUGAUACAUAGCCGACCUGAGAGGGUGGUGGGCCACAUUGGAGGUGAACAACGGCCCAAACCCCGCCGGGGGGGAAAGGUGGGGAAUUUUCGGCAAUGGACGAAGUCUUACCCCGGCAACCCGGGGGGAGGUAAGAAGGUUUUCGGAUCGUAAAAUUUGUUUGGGAGGAAAGAACGUGGGUGAAGGUGAAAAGCCCACAAAGGGAAGGGAACUACCCAAAAAGGGGCGGCAAACUGCGG
rnacentral:rRNA from 1 species